GGGGAAUAUUGGACAAUGGGCGCAAGCCUGAUCCAGCCAUGCCGCGUGAGUGAUGAAGGCCUUAGGGUUGUAAAGCUCUUUCGGCGGGGAAGAUAAUGACGGUACCCGCAGAAGAAGCCCCGGCUAACUUCGUGCCAGCAGCCGCGGUAAUACGAAGGGGGCUAGCGUUGCUCGGAAUCACUGGGCGUAAAGCGCACGUAGGCGGCUUACUAAGUCAGGGGUGAAAUCCUGGAGCUCAACUCCAGAACUGCCUUUGAUACUGGUGAGCUUGAGUUCGGGAGAGGUGAGUGGAACUGUGAGUGUAGAGGUGAAAUUCGUAGAUAUUCGCAAGAACACCAGUGGCGAAGGCGGCUCACUGGCCCGAUACUGACGCUGAGGUGCGAAAGCGUGGGAGCAAACA
rnacentral:rRNA from 1 species